rnacentral:tRNA from 1 species
AGGAAGGUUCCGUUUGUUGGUAUGACGGGUUGAGCUGUAAACUCAAUAGCCUUUUGCUGUCGAAGGUUCAAUUCCUUUUCUUCCUAA